GCCUCUCAGCCGUGGUUUCCCACUCCCCUCCUCAAGCUGCUUACCGCAGUCUCGGAGAUCUUAGUCGAGCGUAACCAUCCUCUACUACCAGAUGUCGGAGUGGGAGACGGACCCGGAGUAACKAUGAGUCUCAAUAUGAGUAUGGUCAUUCUCCCUUUAUUAGAGCUUACACAGAGUAUAUAUAGACAAGCAAUAAGCAUGCACUAGCAAUAGCUGUAUGAUUGGUUUACAGUGUCUGUACAUCCAAAGUGAUCAAUCAUUCUGCGAGGCAGCCAAGAGACAAAGCGGUUUGCUUGUUCGAUAGGCAGUGGACAGAUUAGGCAGUCUCCUUGUUUGUGAGACAGCGAACAUCCACAGUGGUCAUUCAUUCUGAGAGGCAGCGAAGAAACACAGCGGUCUGGGUUUUCCCCAGGCGGCGAACUGAUUAGGCAGUCUCCUUGUUUGUGAGACACCGAACAUCCACAGUGGUCACUCAUUCUGCGAGGCAGCGAACAGACGCAGCAGUCUGCCGCUUUGUGAGACAGCGAACAUCCACAGUGGUCACUCAUUCUGCGAGGCAGCGAAGAGACGCAGCGGUUUACUUGUUCCACAGGCAGCGAAGAGACAAAGCGGUUUGCUUGUUCGCCAGGCAGCGAACAGAUUAGGCAGUCUCCUUGUUUGUGAGACAGCGAACAUCCACAGCGGUCACUCAUUCUGCGAGGCAGCGAAGAGACACAGCGGUUUGCUUGGGUACGAGGCAGCGAAAAGACACAGCUGUGAGAUAAUUUGCGAGGCAGCGAACAGACACAGCGGUUAG
rnacentral:lncRNA from 1 species